rnacentral:rRNA from 1 species
UACGGGGGGGGGCUAGCGUUGUUCGGAAUUACUGGGCGUAAAGGGCGCGUAGGCGGUCUGCUAAGUUGGAUGUGAAAACUCUGGGCUUAACCCAGAGCCUGCAUUCAAUACUGACAGGCUAGAGUUCUGGAGGGGAUAGCGGAAUUCCUGGUGUAGCGGUGAAAUGCGUAGAUAUCAGGAGGAACACCGGUGGCGAAGGCGGCUAUCUGGACAGAGUCUGACGCUGAGGCGCGAAAGCUAGGGGAGCAAACAGG